UCAUGUAGCUCAGUUGGUAGAGCAUGAGACUCUUAUUCUCAGGGACUAUGGGUUCGAGCCCCACAUUGGGCAAAA